GGGGUUGUGGCUCAGUGGUAGAGCACUUGCUUAGCAUGCAUGAGGCACUGGGUUCGAUCCUA
rnacentral:tRNA from 1 species